rnacentral:rRNA from 1 species
CCUACGGGUGGCAGCAGUGGGGAAUAUUGCACAAUGGGCGAAAGCCUGAUGCAGCAACGCCGCGUGAAGGAAGAAGGGUUUCGGCUCGUAAACUUCUAUCAACAGGGACGAAAGAAAUGACGGUACCUGAAUAAGAAGCCCCGGCUAACUACGUGCCAGCAGCCGCGGUAAUACGUAGGGGGCAAGCGUUAUCCGGAUUCACUGGGUGUAAAGGGAGCGUAGACGGCCAGGCAAGCCUGGAGUGAAAGCCCGGGGCCCAACCCCGGGACUGCUCUUGGAACUGCGCGGCUGGAGUGCAGGAGGGGCAGGCGGAAUUCCUGGUGUAGCGGUGAAAUGCGUAGAUAUCAGGAGGAACACCGGUGGCGAAGGCGGCCUGCUGGACUGCGACUGACGUUGAGGCCCGAAAGCGUGGGGAGCAAACAGGAUUAGAUACCCGG